rnacentral:lncRNA from 1 species
AAAGUUGGUCCUUUUGAAGAUAGAGAAAGAGAGGGAUUGCAGAACUGUUCAAUGACAGUGCUUGCCAGGGCACAGAUGAGUACUUAAGGAGAGAAGUGUUCAAGGGUUGCACUGUGGCCCACCCAGACACAUGGAACCAUCCAGUACUCGAUGAAGAAAAGCAUGCCUGGCCUUUCUUGGAAUUGUUUUUACCAAAUAAACAUCACAAAUGUUUUCUGCAGAAGAUAUAAAAAGAUCAUAAUAAAACUUAUUCUUUUGUAUACCAGGAAAGGUUUGUAGAAAACCUACCUCAUUCAAAACAAAACAAAACAAAAAACUCAAGAGUUUGGAAUCUCCACAGGUGCCUUAUCUGUAGGUAAUUAUCAGUCCCCCACCCCCAGGCUGACUUCUCUUUGCCCCUGGAUAUUAACUAGAUGAGAAAAUGCCAUUCAAUGCCCUGAGAAGCUAGAACCUAGGGUCAGAUAACUGCAGCAGACCAUAGCCAUUAGGAAGUCCCAUUGUCAACUGUCACCAUUUCAAGGUAGGCAUCUUUCCAUGGUUAAUUAUUUGGUCAUUCCAAAUGCAUCUGAAAUGUUGCAUGCCCUGCCAUUCAGAUGCAAAGCACUUCCUGGUCAGGUCAUAUCUUUUCAUUAGUCACAUGGAUUCUCGAAGAAAGUUUUAAAAAAAAAAGGAAUCAGGGUUUCUCUCUGCUGAUGCUCCCCUGAGGGGAUGGGGGGGCUUUGGAUGACAGUCCCCAACUAUAGAGGGACUGGUGCUUUGGGUCAUUCACAAACCACAUCAGGCAUGACUUGGCCAGGCCUUUGUCUCUAAAUAGAACAGGCCUUGAAGGGACCAUCCUUUGUAGAAGAAGAAGAAUGGGCCUAUGUUUGAGAAUAGCAUGAUGGGACUCAGUCACUGGGUGAGGGGGAAACCAGAUAAAAGAACCCAGAGGCUCUUUCUAACCCAUUAUCUUACCGUGGGAAUUUACACUGAGUCUAAACAUACCUUCGAAAGGGCUACAGCCUCAGGUCUGGAUGACCUGCCGUGAGUUGUAAGUGGCAAUGUCUCUCCUGUCCAGGGAUGAAACAACUGAUGAUGUGUAAAAUACAAGGAAUACUUUGCUCUUUCUAAAAGUUUGUUCAGUUUGGCCCUUAGCAUUCCUUUAGAAAAAACUCAAAACUUCCUCAGAGUUAAUUAGUGAGAUCCUCAGGCAUCGAUGCCUGUGGAUCUCAGACAGCUCUGUGUGUGGCUUGUCCCCACCGGCUGGGAUUGGCUUCCUGCAGCUGACUAGGCUGAGGUGUGAUGCCCUCCCUCCCUGGGUACAUACCUUCUUCUCUGGCUCUGAUUGCACUUGCUUCCUACUGAGGGCUCCUGAGUACAACCCUCUGGGGAAGCCAAAUUCAACUCCAGGUGUUCGGUAAAAAUCAGUGUCAAUAAUAAAUGAACAAAACUUGUAGGUCUUGAUGGACUGAAUUUUCAAUAACUACUGUUAAUGCAUUUUUGCCAAAAUCUGUGUUGGGGAAUGUGUGUUUGUGUGUGGAUGUUUAAGUGGAGACAGAAAAUCUGUAAUUUUUUUUUUAGCACCUCACCAGACAUAACAAUUAGGUAUUAUCCUUUCGACAACACCACAAAGAUUGCAUCUGUCAAACAGGCUCAAGUUAACAAGAGGUUAGUGUAAUUGUAUACCAUGAUAUUGCUGGUAUUUAUGCUGUCAAGUCCAAAACUUCAUUUGUUCUUCUAAAUGUUUAAUAAACUAAUUUUUUUCCU